CUUAGGCUAAAUAUCUUAAAGCUUGAAUCUUUUUUAUUAUGUGAAGGCAAAAUUUGAGGAGGGAAAAAUGGAUAUUCAAGAUAUUGAGUGUCCACUUGUAAUAUCAAAAUCAAGAAAUGAAGAAUCAAAGAAUAAGAGAAAAUGUGAUGAUUUUCUUGAAGAAGUUAAGAAGAUUUUGGCAUUAGCAGGGCCUUUAAUGUCAGUUAAUUUUCUUCUAUAUUGCUUACAGGUGAUUUCAGUUAUGUUUGUUGGUCAUCUUGGUGAGUUAGCUCUUUCUGGUGCUUCAAUGGCUACUUCAUUUGCCACUGUCACUGGUUUCAGCUUGUUGAUGGGAAUGGGAAGUGCAUUGGACACAAUUUGUGGGCAAGCAUAUGGUGCGAAGCGAUAUCAUAUGCUUGGUAUCCAUAUGCAAAGGGCCAUGAUAGUUCUUCUUUUCGUUAGCAUUCCGUUAGCCUUUAUUUGGGCAAAUGCAGGACAUAUUCUUGAAAUCUUAGGACAAAGUUCGGAAAUAGCAGCCGAAGCAGGGGAUUAUGCACGGUUCAUGAUACCGAGCAUCUUUGCCUAUGCACUACUACAAUGCCAAAUGAGGUUUCUACAAGCUCAGAACGACGUCCUCCCUAUGAUGCUUACUGCAGGAGCUACAGCUUUGCUGCAUUUAUUCACUUGUUGGUUUCUCGUGCUCAAAACCGGCCUUGGCAACAAAGGGGCUGCUCUGGCUAAUGCUGCGUCUUACUGGAUUAACGUGUUCUUAUUAGCUGCAUAUAUUGGGAUAUCGCCUUCUUGCAGAAGUACUUGGACUGGAUUUUCAAUGGUAGCGUUUACUGACAUCCCGAGAUACCUUAGACUAGCUAUUCCUUCAGCCGUUAUGGUUUGCUUGGAGAGUUGGUCAUUCGAAAUGAUGGUUCUGUUAUCUGGUCUUCUUUCUAAUCCGAAACUAGAAACCUCAGUUCUUUCAAUCAGCCUUAAUACAUCUUCAAUGAUAUACAUGUUGCCUUUUGGACUAAGUGGUGCCACAAGCAUAAGAGUUUCAAAUGAAUUAGGCGCUGGACGACCAAAAGCAGCUCGUGUAGCAGCGUAUACUGCAUUGUUCUUAGCUACUACAGAAGGAGUUCUAGUAGCAAUGUUCAUCAUUUCGGUUCGUAAAUUUUGGGGGAAAUGUUACAGCAAUGAGGAAGAAGUAGUAACCUAUGUGUCUGAAAUGUUGAUGUUUAUAGCAGGAUCACACUUCAUAGAUGCAAAUCAAUCUGUACUUUCAGGUAUUGCUAGAGGAUGUGGUUGGCAAAAAAUAGGUGCAAUUGUUAAUUUGGGAGCUUAUUAUCUAUGGGGAAUACCUGCUGGUAUUGUAUUAGCUUUUUUCUACCAUGUUGGAGGAAAGGGACUUUGGUUGGGUCUCACUCUAUCACUUAUUGCUCAAGCCCUCAUUUAUUUAGUAGUUACUCUCAGAACAAAUUGGGACAAAGAGGUUGAAUUUUGACAAUUUUGUUGACUUGGCCUAAUAAACUGAACCUGAAAUGACGAACCUAACUAUUAGGUUUUUAAAAAGGCAAAGAAAGCAGCUGAUAGGGUGAUUCCAGAGUUAGCAUAGAAUAAAAUAUUUUAAAGAAAGUAUCAUAUAGAAUUGAACAUUUUGAAUUUAAAAAUUGUUUAGACAAUCAAUGGUUCUUGUUUUAGUUUUUUUUAAAAAAUAAAUGUGAAUAUUUGAUUUUAUUUUGGUUACAUAUUUUUUUGGUAUUGAGAGGAUAUUACAGAUUUACGUAAACUCAAUAUCUUUUAACAGUAAA